rnacentral:tRNA from 1 species
GCGCACGUGGCGAAACUGGUAGACGUGCAGGUCUCAGAAGCCUGUGCCUUCGGGUGUGGGAGUUCGAAUCUCCCCGUGCGCAC